GGGUGCCCUGUAAAAGUGUGCCCUGCGUUACCUGCGCUCCUGUGACGGGCACCUCAGCGGCCGUGCCUGAGUAACUGCACCGCCGUAGGCAAAAUCAUCGUCCUGAAACUUGGCUAAGAGCCGUCAGACACCAUGUUCAGAUGACUCACCAGUAACUUGACUGCAAUGUAUGAAGCCUAAGCUCCACCAUAAGUGGGUAGUUUUUGGAAAAAGCAUUAUGGAUGGAUUAGAACUGCAGUCGGAAAAAGGAAGUUUGAUUGUGCUCACCACCCUCCGAUGUAUGCCCAGCCAGUCCGCAGGCAGUGAUCAGUGCCGCUCCCUGGCCAACUGCCCUUCCCACCCCCCCAGUUUUAUCAUUUAGCAUGAUUCCACAUGGUGUGGGAUAUCCCUUGGGUCAACUGGAGUCAGCUGUCCUGGCUGUGUCCCCUUCCAACUUCUUGUACACCUCCAGCCUCCUCCCUGGCAGGGCAGUAUGAGAAGCUGUGUGUUAUCAACAAUAUUCUCAUCCUAAAUCCAAAACACACCAUUUUAUCUGCUACUAGGAAGAAAAUUAACUAUCCCAG